GGGGCCAUAGCUCAGCUGGGAGAGCGCGACAAUGGCAUUGUCGAGGUCGGGGGUUCGAUCCCCCCUGGCUCCACCA
rnacentral:tRNA from 1 species